AGAACAGAUUGCAUGCCUUUCUCAUCUGUGUCACAUGCAACAGCUUGCACAGUUCAACAUGAACUGAGAUGAGGCAGGAGUGUAAAAACACUGAACAGAGAAUUAACAGAUGGAACAGACCAGGAAAAGAGAGGCAAUAAAAGAAGGAUGAAUUUAGUAAUGUAAAGCAGAAGUAAACAGAAAUGGUUUACAGGAUGUAAAAUAAAAGGAUGUACAGAAUCGGGAACAGUUAUGGGGAAUGUGAUAAUAUUGAG